AUCUUGCUCCCACACGCCCUCCUUGCUCCUCAGGGUGCUGUGGGUUUGUCACCUGGGACUGGGAGCUGCCCAGGCCGUGGCACUGUGGCUUAGACCCUGCUGACACAGAGUUUGACCCUGCAGAGCUGCUGCGACCAUGUGGAGGACGAUCAUCUUCUCAAGUCGGACUGCACAGUCGGUGCUCGAGAUACUUGCCCUUGUCCUGGGAAGCUGGCCAGCCUGCAGCAUGUGCACCUUGGAUGGGGAUGAAACAGAUGUCUUUGCCCUGGCUCUGAGUUUCUGGAACUGGACUUUGCUCACUCCCACAUCGCCUCCAGGGCAGCUCUUCAUCCUCCCCCAGCACUGCAUCUCCCUGCCUCAGGCACUGGGCUGGAAACCUGGCUUAGGGGCAGGUUCAGGGGCACCAGGCCAGGUGCUCUUCCUGUGUCUCCCCUGGCCUCUCCCUCCCGCGCUCGGGCCUUGCCACAUGGAUGUCUCAGCACUGAGUGCUGUCUCCAGCUGUUUUACUUUUUUGCAGGCAAACGUGGCACUGUGGACGGCCCUCCAGCUGCCCUGGUGCCCACGUACAGUGAGGGAGUGUUUCCCCAGCCUCUUUGUGCAUCUGCUCUUCCAGGUGUUCUUCAACGCAGUGCAUAGGCUGGAGGAGGACGACGCCUUCUGGAGGGAAUGCCAGGACCAACACAGCCUUCCCACCAACGCCAACAGGUUUGCAGUGCUGACCAUCCAAGCCCUGCUGUGCCAUCUGCGGUGUGAGGGUGUGGUGAUGGCACUGGAACGCAAGUGUGGCUGGGACACGCUGCUCAACGCUGACACCCACCACUGCGCAGUGGGUCUGCUGGCCAGGGAGAUGGUCUGUAUCUGCACACCCUGGUUUUGCAGCACUGUGUGCUGCCUCCUGGAGCUGCUCAGUGAAGAGAUGUGUCCCUGGGAGCUCCCUACCAUGGCGUUCCCUG